rnacentral:rRNA from 1 species
AGAGUUUGAUCCUGGCUCAGAAUGAACGCUGGCGGCAGGCCUAAUACAUGCAAGUCGAGGGGCCCAGCAAUGGGCACCGGCGCACGGGUGCGUAACGCGUGGGAACGUACCUCUGGGUGCGGAACAACGUCGGGAAACUGACGCUAAUACCGCAUAAUAUCUCCGGAUCAAAGAUUUAUCGCCCAGGGAUCGGCCCGCGUUGGAUUAGCUAGUUGGUGAGGUAAUGGCUCACCAAGGCAACGAUCCAUAGCUGGUCUGAGAGGAUGAUUAGCCACACUGGGACUGAGACACGGCCCAGACUCCUACGGGAGGCAGCAGUAAGGAAUAUUGGACAAUGGGGGCAACCCUGAUCCAGCCAUGCCGC